AACGCCUCUAAGUCAGAAUCCGUGCUAGAAAGCAAUGAUGACUACCUCUGGAUGAUCUUAGGCGAACAAGAAUAGAACGGCAGCGGUCGUUCCCGAGUCUCAACGCUCCGAAGCAGAGAAAAGCUGCGAGGAGCUGCAAGGAACAAAAUCUAGAAUGUUCAGGGAUAAAUCUUAUGCAGACGACUUAAACAAG
rnacentral:rRNA from 1 species